GCUGCUGCCCCAGGAGUCUGAGCUGACACACGACAGCAACAUGUGCACCAUAUGUCACAAUCAGUGCAGCAAGGCAGGACACACAAAUCCAUACACCACGGGCUGUGACACAAAGAACAGUCUCUUUAGCUGAAAAAGAUUCAGUUCCCAGCUCUUUGAAGUCCAUUUCAUCACAUAUUGUGCCACAGCAUUGGCUUGUGACUCUCUACAGCACUUAGACCCUUAUUGUUGAGUACAUGAAGAUGCCUGUGCUGGGUGGGAAAAAAAUCCUUUCUUCUGCUUACGAAAGAAGGUUAGCAUGGAAUUGCUUAAUUGCGUCUGGACAUUAGUAAAUCGAAGGUGUGGUGAGCUAAUUAAGAAGCUUGGGAGUAUUUUUCAUUUGCUGCCUCUUUCCAACAUUCCUGUAACCGAAUAUCUCCUUUUUUAUUUUAGAGACAGACUGAAAAAUAACAAAAUUAGAUAAACCUC